rnacentral:rRNA from 1 species
UACAGAGGGUGCAAGCGUUGCUCGGAAUCAUUGGGCGUAAAGGGCAGGUAGGUGGUCUGAUUUGUCUGGAGGUGAAAGCCUUGGGCUUAACCCAAGAAGUGCCCCGGAAACGGUCAGACUUUGAGUCUUGGAGAGGGUUGCGGAAUUCCCGGUGUAGCGGUGAAAUGCGUAGAUAUCAGGAGGAAUACCGGUGGUGCAGACGGCUCUCUGGACCGCAACUGACGCUGAGACACGAAAAGCGUGGGUAGCAAACAGG